rnacentral:rRNA from 3 species
GGGUUGUGAGGUUAAGCGACUAAGCGUACACGGUGGAUGCCCUGGCAGUCAGAGGCGAUGAAGGACGUGCUAAUCUGCGAUAAGCGUCGGUAAGGUGAUAUGAACCGUUAUAACCGGCGAUUUCCGAAUGGGGAAACCCAGUGUGAUUCGUCACACUAUCAUUAACUGAAUCCAUAGGUUAAUGAGGCGAACCGGGGGAACUGAAACAUCUAAGUACCCCGAGGAAAAGAAAUCAACCGAGAUUCCCCCAGUAGCGGCGAGCGAACGGGGAGCAGCCCAGAGCCUGAAUCAGUGUGUGUGUUAGUGGAAGCGUCUGGAAAGGCGCGCGAUACAGGGUGACAGCCCCGUACACAAAAAUGCACAUGCUGUGAGCUCGAUGAGUAGGGCGGGACACGUGGUAUCCUGUCUGAAUAUGGGGGGACCAUCCUCCAAGGCUAAAUACUCCUGACUGACCGAUAGUGAACCAGUACCGUGAGGGAAAGGCGAAAAGAACCCCGGCGAGGGGAGUGAAAAAGAACCUGAAACCGUGUACGUACAAGCAGUGGGAGCACGCUUAGGCGUGUGACUGCGUACCUUUUGUAUAAUGGGUCAGCGACUUAUAUUCUGUAGCAAGGUUAACCGAAUAGGGGAGCCGAAGGGAAACCGAGUCUUAACUGGGCGUUAAGUUGCAGGGUAUAGACCCGAAACCCGGUGAUCUAGCCAUGGGCAGGUUGAAGGUUGGGUAACACUAACUGGAGGACCGAACCGACUAAUGUUGAAAAAUUAGCGGAUGACUUGUGGCUGGGGGUGAAAGGCCAAUCAAACCGGGAGAUAGCUGGUUCUCCCCGAAAGCUAUUUAGGUAGCGCCUCGUGAAUUCAUCUCCGGGGGUAGAGCACUGUUUCGGCAAGGGGGUCAUCCCGACUUACCAACCCGAUGCAAACUGCGAAUACCGGAGAAUGUUAUCACGGGAGACACACGGCGGGUGCUAACGUCCGUCGUGAAGAGGGAAACAACCCAGACCGCCAGCUAAGGUCCCAAAGUCAUGGUUAAGUGGGAAACGAUGUGGGAAGGCCCAGACAGCCAGGAUGUUGGCUUAGAAGCAGCCAUCAUUUAAAGAAAGCGUAAUAGCUCACUGGUCGAGUCGGCCUGCGCGGAAGAUGUAACGGGGCUAAACCAUGCACCGAAGCUGCGGCAGCGACGCUGAUGCGUUGUUGGGUAGGGGAGCGUUCUGUAAGCCUGCGAAGGUGUGCUGUGAGGCAUGCUGGAGGUAUCAGAAGUGCGAAUGCUGACAUAAGUAACGAUAAAGCGGGUGAAAAGCCCGCUCGCCGGAAGACCAAGGGUUCCUGUCCAACGUUAAUCGGGGCAGGGUGAGUCGACCCCUAAGGCGAGGCCGAAAGGCGUAGUCGAUGGGAAACAGGUUAAUAUUCCUGUACUUGGUGUUACUGCGAAGGGGGGACGGAGAAGGCUAUGUUGGCCGGGCGACGGUUGUCCCGGUUUAAGCGUGUAGGCUGGUUUUCCAGGCAAAUCCGGAAAAUCAAGGCUGAGGCGUGAUGACGAGGCACUACGGUGCUGAAGCAACAAAUGCCCUGCUUCCAGGAAAAGCCUCUAAGCAUCAGGUAACAUCAAAUCGUACCCCAAACCGACACAGGUGGUCAGGUAGAGAAUACCAAGGCGCUUGAGAGAACUCGGGUGAAGGAACUAGGCAAAAUGGUGCCGUAACUUCGGGAGAAGGCACGCUGAUAUGUAGGUGAAGUCCCUCGCGGAUGGAGCUGAAAUCAGUCGAAGAUACCAGCUGGCUGCAACUGUUUAUUAAAAACACAGCACUGUGCAAACACGAAAGUGGACGUAUACGGUGUGACGCCUGCCCGGUGCCGGAAGGUUAAUUGAUGGGGUCAGCGCAAGCGAAGCUCUUGAUCGAAGCCCCGGUAAACGGCGGCCGUAACUAUAACGGUCCUAAGGUAGCGAAAUUCCUUGUCGGGUAAGUUCCGACCUGCACGAAUGGCGUAAUGAUGGCCAGGCUGUCUCCACCCGAGACUCAGUGAAAUUGAACUCGCUGUGAAGAUGCAGUGUACCCGCGGCAAGACGGAAAGACCCCGUGAACCUUUACUAUAGCUUGACACUGAACAUUGAGCCUUGAUGUGUAGGAUAGGUGGGAGGCUUUGAAGUGUGGACGCCAGUCUGCAUGGAGCCGACCUUGAAAUACCACCCUUUAAUGUUUGAUGUUCUAACGUUGACCCGUAAUCCGGGUUGCGGACAGUGUCUGGUGGGUAGUUUGACUGGGGCGGUCUCCUCCUAAAGAGUAACGGAGGAGCACGAAGGUUGGCUAAUCCUGGUCGGACAUCAGGAGGUUAGUGCAAUGGCAUAAGCCAGCUUGACUGCGAGCGUGACGGCGCGAGCAGGUGCGAAAGCAGGUCAUAGUGAUCCGGUGGUUCUGAAUGGAAGGGCCAUCGCUCAACGGAUAAAAGGUACUCCGGGGAUAACAGGCUGAUACCGCCCAAGAGUUCAUAUCGACGGCGGUGUUUGGCACCUCGAUGUCGGCUCAUCACAUCCUGGGGCUGAAGUAGGUCCCAAGGGUAUGGCUGUUCGCCAUUUAAAGUGGUACGCGAGCUGGGUUUAGAACGUCGUGAGACAGUUCGGUCCCUAUCUGCCGUGGGCGCUGGAGAAUUGAGGGGGGCUGCUCCUAGUACGAGAGGACCGGAGUGGACGCAUCACUGGUGUUCGGGUUGUCAUGCCAAUGGCACUGCCCGGUAGCUAAAUGCGGAAGAGAUAAGUGCUGAAAGCAUCUAAGCACGAAACUUGCCCCGAGAUGAGUUCUCCCUGACUCCUUGAGAGUCCUGAAGGAACGUUGAAGACGACGACGUUGAUAGGCCGGGUGUGUAAGCGCAGCGAUGCGUUGAGCUAACCGGUACUAAUGAACCGUGAGGCUUAACCUUACAACGCCGAAG